rnacentral:rRNA from 1 species
CGCGGCCUAUCAUGCAAGGUCGAACGCACAGCCGAAAGGUGCUUGCACCUUUCAAGUGAGUGGCGAACGGGUGAGUAACACGUGGAUAACCUACCUCAAGGUUGGGGAUAACAUUUGGAAACAGAUGCUAAUACCGAAUAAAACUUAGUAUCGCAUGAUACCAGGUUAAAAGGCGCUACGGCGUCACCUAGAGAUGGAUCCGCGGUGCAUUAGUUAGUUGGUGGGGUAAAGGCUUACCAAGACAAUGAUGCAUAGCCGAGUUGAGAGACUGAUCGGCCACAUUGGGACUGAGACACGGCCCAAACUCCUACGGGAGGCUGCAGUAGGGAAUCUUCCACAAUGGGCGAAAGCCUGAUGGAGCAACGCCGCGUGUGUGAUGAAGGCUUUCGGGUCGUAAAGCACUGUUGUAUGGGAAGAACAGCUAGAGUAGGGAAUGACUUUAGUUUGACGGUACCAUACCAGAAAGGGACGGCUAAAUACGUGCCAGCAGCCGCGGUAAUACGUAUGUCCCGAGCGUUAUCCGGAUUUAUUGGGCGUAAAGCGAGCGCAGACGGUUAAUUAAGUCUGAUGUGAAAGCCCGGAGCUCAACUCCGGAAAGGCAUUGGAAACUGGUUAACUUGAGUGCAGUAGAGGUAAGUGGAACUCCAUGUGUAGCGGUGGAAUGCGUAGAUAUAUGGAAGAACACCAGCGGCGAAGGCGGCUUACUGGACUGUAACUGACGUUGAGGCUCGAAAGUGUGGGUAGCAAACAGGAUUAGAUACCCUGGUAGUCCACACCGUAAACGAUGAACACUAGGUGUUAGGAGGUUUCCGC